CUGGUGGUGGGUGGCAAUGAUGAACUUUCCUCUUUUACACCCUUGCUAACGUCACAUUUAGAAGAACCAUCUGGACCCUUUGCACAUUUAGAACAGCCGCAUCAGCAGCAUAUGCUACCGUUUCAGGGUCUGGCAGGCGAGAACCUUUCCAACGGGACGGAAGGUGACAUCAUGCCACAGCUCAGGGACGAGGGGGCAUACAUGCUCUCUACGACCUGGAACAGCAUCUUGGAAGAGUGAAUGGGCAGUAGAGGGCACGCCUUCAUCCAUCAGCUGAUAAAGACGCGUCACACCAACAUCAGUGACCCUCUGACGAAGGUGGAAGUGCCCGCUGAAACAUGUCAGGGUUGGAAAGGAGCUGCGAGCCUGCCAGCGAGAGGUCCAGUGCUGCGAGAGGAAGGUCUCGGUAGCCGAAACUCACCAGCUGAACCGGAGGAGCCAAGCACUGGUUCUCAUCAUCUACCUGCUGGGAGAUGACCUCCAAGUCUGAGAGAGCUGCAGUCUCAGUGUCCCUACAAGACCAACAAGAGAAGAACCACAUCGGAUAUUUAUACGGUGGAUCACUGUCACCCUGAACUAGUUGAACUGACUAAGGCUACAUUCAUACUGUAGAGCGCGAUGCCCAAUUUGAAUUUUCGGGGGUUUUUUUGUAUCCUGAAAUUUCUUUCUUAACAAGAGGCAAUAUUGUACCACUGUACAAAUGAGCCCCGGUUUGAACUCUUCACACUGUACAUAGGCAAAGAAAUCGGAAUUGGCACUCAGUGUGAACGUGGCCUAAAAGCCCUUAUUACCAUCGCAAAUUGAAAG